rnacentral:tRNA from 1 species
AUUUAUAUAGUUUAAACCAAAACAUUACAUUUUCACUGUAAAAUUAAAACUUUAGUUUUUAUAAAUA